rnacentral:lncRNA from 1 species
AUGGUUUCACCAUCCACAUGAGACAGAGCCAUCUGAAGAACGCUUUGCACAGAGACCUACAUCAGAUCUCCAAGUUUCCCAAGAGACUGACCUGCUGCCACAGAACCAUCUGAGACAGCGCUAUCUCCUGGGACCUACAGACAAAAGCUGACUUCCUUCAAAAAUCUCAUUUGACUGAAGACUCCCGAGACAAGUACUGAGCUACAGAAGACAGACAUGGGACCAUCCAGCCUCAGAUGGAAUUUUAUGCCAAAGCCAAAUGGCUGAUGAACUUUGGGGAAAGUUGCAUGAUAGUGAGGAAAGUAUAAUGUCUAUCUAGAUUAAUUAAUUGCUGUUCAAAAAUGGAUGUUAUUACCCUCAAAUUGUACUACCCAUGGAACAACUGAUUGAUUGUACAAUCUCUUGCCUUUUCAAUGCUUACCCUUAAUUCUCCUUACUACUCUGGCUUUGUUCUGCUACUUCUCUAGGCUAUACAUUUUCUUCUGAUACUUCCAUUCACUCUAAAUUUUUACCACUAAUGAAACAAUCACAUCAGUGACUCCCCGUUUUUUUUCUUAUAAAAACAGAGGGGAAGAUGUGGGGAUGGUAGGCAUUUGUGCAAGUGCUCCUGGAACUCUGGUCCUUGCCUAAAUUACCACACCCCACAGCUCCCACAAGAGAAGCAUGGUCAGUAGUCACAUGGGCAGUAGCCCAAGCUUCUGACCUUCAGAAAAAACUCCUCUCCAGUUACCUAGCAACAAUAAAGACCAUAAAAUGGGUUAUUCAGCCCCACCUUGAUCUCUUACCUCUUACUUCUCACUCUCUUACUUGCCUCCCUCUUACCCCUCACUCUCACCCCCUCUCUCCUCUCUCUUUGCCUUCUCCUCGCUCCUCUCUUACUCUCUUUCUCUCUAGCCAUUUCUCUCUCUCCCUCUCUCUCUCUCUCUCU